AUACGGAGGGGGCUAGCGUUGUUCGGAAUUACUGGGCGUAAAGCGCGCGUAGGCGGCUUUGUAAGUCGGAUGUGAAAGCCCUGGGCUCAACCUGGGAAUGGCAUUCGAUACUGCAUAACUAGAGUAUGGUAGAGGGAAGUGGAAUUUCCGGUGUAGCGGUGAAAUGCGUAGAUAUCGGAAGGAACACCAGUGGCGAAGGCGACUUCCUGGGCCAAUACUGACGCUGAGGUGCGAAAGCGUGGGGAGCAAACAGGAUUAGAUACCCGUGUAGUCC
rnacentral:rRNA from 1 species